rnacentral:lncRNA from 1 species
AAAUAUUGUGAAAAGUAAUCAGUAGCAAAUACAAACCCACUCAACAAAACAAAAAGACCAGGGUCCAGUCAAAACACAAGAAUCCACCCCAGAUAGGAUCUGAACAAUAAACAAACCAAGAUCACCAACACACAAAAAAUCAACAUCACAAGCCAAUCUGAGAAACACUUGGUCGAUCAAAGCAACAGAGGAGAGACAAAAUCAUUCAAAGGAAGAGCCUCAGAGAGUCAAUCAAGGGUCACCACUGCCUCAACAGACGCACAGCAACCAUUCCAAC